rnacentral:rRNA from 1 species
GUGCCAGACUCCUACGGGAGGCAGCAGUGGGGGAUAUUGCACAAUGGGGGGAACCCUGAUGCAGCGACGCCGCGUGGGUGAAGGAGCGUUUCGGCGCGUAAAGCCCUAUCGGCAGGGAAGAAGGAGGACGGUACCUGACUAAGAAGCCCCGGCUAACUACGUGCCGGCAGCCGCGGCAAUACGUAGGGGGCAAGCGUUAUCCGGAUUUACUGGGUGUAAAGGGAGCGCAGGCGGCGCGCCAAGUCUGAUGUGAACCCCCGGGGCUCAACCCCGGGCAUGCAUUGGAAACUGGCGGGCUGGAGUGCCGGAGAGGUAAGCGGAAUUCCUAGUGUAGCGGUGAAAUGCGUAGAUAUUAGGAGGAACACCAGUGGCGAAGGCGGCUUACUGGACGGCAACUGACGCUGAGGCUCGAAAGCGUGGGGAGCAAACAGGAUUAGAUACCCUGGUAC